AGAGUUUGAUCCUGGCUCAGGACGAACGCUGGCGGCACGCUUAACACAUGCAAGUCGAACGAGAGAAGAGGAGCUUGCUUUUCUGAUCUAGUGGCGGACGGGUGAGUAACACGUGAGCAAUCUGCCUUUCAGAGGGGGAUACCGAUUGGAAACGAUCGUUAAUACCGCAUAACAUAAUUGAACCGCAUGAUUUGAUUAUCAAAGAUUUAUCGCUGAAAGAUGAGCUCGCGUCUGAUUAGCUAGUUGGUAAGGUAACGGCUUACCAAGGCGACGAUCAGUAGCCGGACUGAGAGGUUGAUCGGCCACAUUGGGACUGAGACACGGCCCAGACUCCUACGGGAGGCAGCAGUGGGGAAUAUUGCACAAUGGAGGAAACUCUGAUGCAGCGAUGCCGCGUGAGGGAAGAAGGUUUUAGGAUUGUAAACCUCUGUCUUCAGGGACGAAAAAAGACGGUACCUGAGGAGGAAGCUCCGGCUAACUACGUGCCAGCAGCCGCGGUAAUACGUAGGGAGCGAGCGUUGUCCGGAAUUACUGGGUGUAAAGGGAGCGUAGGCGGGAUCGCAAGUCAGAUGUGAAAACUAUGGGCUUAACCCAUAAACCGCAUUUGAAACUGUGGUUCUUGAGUGAAGUAGAGGUAAGCGGAAUUCCUAGUGUAGCGGUGAAAUGCGUAGAUAUUAGGAGGAACAUCAGUGGCGAAGGCGGCUUACUGGGCUUUAACUGACGCUGAGGCUCGAAAGCGUGGGGAGCAAACAGGAUUAGAUACCCUGGUAGUCCACGCCGUAAACGAUGAUUACUAGGUGUGGGGGGACUGACCCCUUCCGUGCCGCAGCAAACGCAAUAAGUAAUCCACCUGGGGAGUACGACCGCAAGGUUGAAACUCAAAGGAAUUGACGGGGGCCCGCACAAGCAGUGGAGUAUGUGGAUUAAUUCGAAGCAACGCGAAGAACCUUACCAGGUCUUGACAUCGUAUGCAUAGCUCAGAGAUGAGUGAAAUCUCUUCGGAGACAUAUAGACAGGUGGUGCAUGGUUGUCGUCAGCUCGUGUCGUGAGAUGUUGGGUUAAGUCCCGCAACGAGCGCAACCCUUACUGUUAGUUGCUACGCAAGAGCACUCUAGCAGGACUGCCGUUGACAAAACGGAGGAAGGUGGGGAUGACGUCAAAUCAUCAUGCCCCUUAUGACCUGGGCCUCACACGUACUACAAUGGCUGUCAACAGAGGGAAGCAAAGCCGCGAGGUGGAGCGAACCCCUAAAAGCAGUCUUAGUUCGGAUUGUAGGCUGCAACCCGCCUACAUGAAGUCGGAAUUGCUAGUAAUCGCAGAUCAGCAUGCUGCGGUGAAUACGUUCCCGGGCCUUGUACACACCGCCCGUCACGCCAUGGGAGUCGGUAACACCCGAAGCCUGUAGUCUAACCGCAAGGAGGACGCAGUCGAAGGUGGGAUUGAUGACUGGGGUGAAGGCGUAACAAGGUA
rnacentral:rRNA from 1 species